CCCUUAGAUGUUCUGGGCCGCACGCGCGCUACACUGAUGCGUUCAACAAGUUUCCUUGGCCGAGAGGCCUGGGCAAUCUUCUUAAUAUGUAUCGUGAUAGGGAUAGAUUAUUGCAAUUAUUAAUCUUGAACGAGGAAUUCCUAGUAAACGCAGAUCAUCAAUCCGCAUUGAUUACGUCCCUGCCCUUUGUACACACCGCCCGUCGCACCUACCGAUUGGAUGUUCCGGUGAAGCCUCGGGAUGAGGACUGGUGCCUUUAUUGGCAUGAGUUGUUCAGAACUUGUCUAAACCUUAUCAUCUAGAGGAAGGUGAAGUCGUAACA
rnacentral:rRNA from 1 species